rnacentral:misc_RNA from 1 species
UCCGGUUUGGCACCGGCAGUCUCUCUAGAGUGCCCGGCUUUACCCGCUGGUAACUAGAGACGGGGGUUGCGCUCGUUGCGGGACUUAACCCAACAUCUCACGGCACGAGCUGACGACAGCCAUGCAGCACCUUAUCCCGGUAUGUCAAGACCUGGUAAGGUUCUGCGCGUUGCUUCGAAUUAAACCACAUCCUCCACCGCUUGUGUGAGCCCCCGUCAAUUCCUUUGAGUUUCAGCCUUGCGACCAUACUCCCCAGGCGGAUCACUUAGCAAAUUACCUGCGGCGGGCACCGAUAGCUCAGCACCCACCUAGUGAUCAUCGUUUACGGCGUGGACUAC